rnacentral:rRNA from 1 species
UACGGAGGGGGCUAGCGUUGUUCGGAAUUACUGGGCGUAAAGCGCACGUAGGCGGCUUUGUAAGUUAGAGGUGAAAGCCCAGGGCUUAACCCUGGAAUUGCCUUUAAGACUGCAUCGCUAGAAUUGUGGAGAGGUAAGUGGAAUUCCGAGUGUAGAGGUGAAAUUCGUAGAUAUUCGGAAGAACACCAGUGGCGAAGGCGACUUACUGGACAGAUAUUGACGCUGAGGUGCGAAAGCGUGGGGAGCAAACAGG